rnacentral:tRNA from 1 species
CUGAAAUGACUCGUGUGGGGUUUUUGUCAAAGACGUUAGGAAUCGCUGAGCACAAUUCGAAAUACGAAACACGAAACGUUUUGAAAUCAUCGGCUUGCUGGAUUGAAAUCGAAUUGGAUAGAAGAUACGCUUACGGAUCAACAUAAAAGCCUUAAAGACAGCCGUGGUGUCGCUCUUCAAUUCUUGGUUCUCCUGUGGUGCAUAAGAAACCCGCUACAUGCAGUGGAAACAACCUGGAGCUGAACACAAAGAUAAGAAAGGACAUGAUAGAGGAUUUUAGGAAGCAGGAGAUAAUCACAUUGCUGUCGUGGAGCUGGUGGACUGGCAUAAACAUCUCUCCUGACAUGGUCAGCCAACACAAACCCACUGGGUGGGGGUACAGGUCCGUUGGGCAGGCAGAGGUAUAGGACCUUUAGAUAUAGAGUAAAGGGGAUAUUCUGUAAGGCUAUCACUUUGUAGAUCCAAGACCAAGAAAACACAUUCCCCUCAGGAUCAAUAGAGCACCAGCAUGUCCUGCAGCACUGGAGUGUGUUUUAAACUAUGUGCCUUUUACUUUGCAGUACUUAAAGCUAAUUUAAUAUUUAGCAUGUAUUACCAAAAUGACCAAAAGAUAAACAGACUUUUCAGUAUAGAAUGAAUGUAAGCAAUGCAUGAUGGCUAAUGGUGUUUUAUUCGGUUGUAGUUCCAUGUAUUUCUUACAAAAAAAAAACAGUGUAAACCAUUUUUAUUGACCAGAAUGUAACUGAAAAUACAAUAGCAGCCUUGCCAUUGUCCAUCAAUACCAAAACAUGUUUUUUUUUUCGUAUAACAUUUUGGGAAAUGUAUGUUGUCAUUGUAGUCUUACAUUUUGUUGGCCAACCAAAAUGACCAAAACGUUAACCCGUAAUAAGGCUAGGGUGGAAUUGUACUAUGAGCUGGCUGAGUGUAAAUACAUGGCUCUGAGUGUAAACCUUUUCACUAGAAACCUAGUUGUGUUCAAAUUACCGUCUGUGCGAAAUAGCUAGAAAGCUUUCGUAUUUCAACUUGGCUACACUUACGGUUAUGAAAACGAUAAAUGACGUGCAAUACCUGCGUCGAUCUGUGACGAGCAGCAAAACCCCGGAAAGCUUCUAGCCUACCGGAAAGUUACUAGAAGAACAUUUUUACAUUUUUUUAAAACAUUUUAGUCAUUUAGCAGACGCUCUUAUCCAGAGCGACUUACAGUAGUGAAUGCAUACAUUUCAUACAUUUUUCCCCGUACUGAACAAGAAUUGUUACUUCAUCCGGUUAUGUGACAUUUGUUGUUUAUAGAUUUUUCUCCCACACCAGAUGUCUGGACCCUGGACAGAUAACAGGUAGGUCGUCAGUUCGUCCCUUGUUGUCAGAAAUACAGCAUACAUACAUACACAUUUGUUUUCGUGUUUGUUAAAGUGUUUGGUUUAAAAAACGCGUUAAACCAGUAAGGAAGGUUACGUAACUGCCAGGUCGCAAUUGUAAAUGAGAACUUGUUCUCAACUUGCCUACCUGGUUAAAUAAAGGUGAAAUAAAUAAAAAACUAAGGUGAAUAAAGAAAGUUGCAUACACAACAGAAUGUGUGGAUAUUUUUGUUGCAUUACUUGCAUGUUAUUCUCACUUAUUAUUUUAGCCACCUAUAAAUUAGGCUAUAUAUUCCCCUUUUUCAUUUUACAUUUUAGUCAUUUAGCAGACGCUCUUAUCCAGAGCGACUUACAGUAGACUGCAUACAUUUUUACAUACUGGCCCACCGUGGGAAUCGAACCCACAACCCUGGCGUUGCAAGCGCCAUGCUCUACCAACUGAGCUACAGUGGGACUCUUUGCAUCUUCAAAGAAAUACACAUUGCCACUCAAUCUGUAUAAAUCGUGUGACAUCUCCUUGGAAGAAGGAGAGAGGGACCCCAGGAGGGACGUGAAGGAGUUGAUGAAAUCCUGUUAAGACAAACAAUCAGGUGAGAGGAGGUCCUAACUAGUCAAUGAUCUAAAUUGAUCAAAACCUGUAGACACUAGCCUUUAAGGACUGGAGUUACACACAUGAACAACAUGAACAAGGAAGUGACAGACUAAUAGCGCAUUAUUGGUAAAUGGUGACACACUGACUGAUCUGCAAGUAAUAAUAAUAGAUAUGUAUUUGUUAUUCAAAGUGAUUUGUAGAUCAGUCAGUCUGCGUGUGGAGGAGGAUGAAGACCUUUAGUUACGUGCAGGACAUAGUAAAACACACGCUAUCAAUGACAUGCAGCUUUUCUCAUAGACAGGGGAGGUUACUAUGUGAAGGAAUGUGUUAGGAUUGGUAGUUGUCUCUUUAUGUUUCUUUUGAGAUGGUAUGGCCUCUGAGGACCCCCAAGACCAACUGGAUGAGGCUAUUAAAAAGGCAGAACGCCUUGCUGAGGAGCUCAACCAAGAGAAGGACCCACAAGCCCAACUGGACGAGGCCAUUAACGAGGCAAAAAGGCUGGCUGAGGAGCUCAACCCAGAACGGGAAAAUAAGAAAAAGACAAACAAGCCUCCAGGGAUUAGGUUCAGAUGGAGACAAAGGGAUGAGAGAGGACAGAUUGUUCCUCAAACCAGGAAGGCAACUACAUCCACUUCCCUUGCUCCAAGGGCCAGUACAUCAAGAGCCAGACUAGUGCAACCUUCUGGGCCAGUCACUGAGGAGGAAGAAUCAGAGACAAGGACCAGUGGAUUGGAAUCCACUCCAGUUUUAAACAUUGAUGAAGAAAUAGGUCUCUACAAUGUUACAGUGCCUGUGCUGACCUGCACAACCUGUCUUUGCACCUGGACAGCAAACUUGGCAGAUCUGAUAAAGAAUGGGUUCUGGCCUGCCACUGUCAACUGUGACACCAUAUACCAGAAUGGAAUGAUCUGUGGGGACACUUUCCAAAAAAGCUUCUUUGAGUGGACGUACUGCCGCUCUGAAAUUGAACAGGUCUGUGAUAUACAGUACUUUGACUGCCCAGCCUGUUCACCCAGCAUGCUUGCAGUGUCAGUGGACGGGAACAAGAAGCUGUAUCGAUUCAAAAAAGGCUAUGUAAAACUAUUCAUAAUUUAUUAAAUAACACCGUACUCUAUAUCAUUUAAACAAUCCAAACAAGGUUUGCCUUUUCUUUGUCCAGUGUGAACGUUUUCAAAUGCAGUUGAGUUCAUUUUAGCUUAAAUGUUUUGCGUUUGUAAUGAAAUUAAUUAUCAACAUUGUCAAGUGUCCACAAUCAGUUACUGAGGUUGAUUGCUAUUUCAUAUGUAAUAUAUUUAAUGUAUUUCACGUAUCCUUUCAAGGACUGAUGACAAAGGAUUCUUUGAUGGCGUGUUUAUCUGCAAGGACGAGGAUGUCUGACUUUGUGAACUAUGUCCAUACAAAGACUAAACAUUUACGUUUCCUGUGUAUCUUCUAAUCUGUGAAAUAGGACUGGCCUCGGGCCAUCUGACUCAAAGGCAGACUCGUUAUACACUAUUCCAAUAAAAACAUAUCAUUUUGGAGAUGGUAAUCCUCUCUCUUCAAGUCCAUUUGUCGUUACACUACUCCCUCUGUUCAGAAAUGCAACACACUUUACAAGUGCUUCUUUUUGAUAGUCGAUCUCCAUUGUAGCGAACAUAGGGGGUAGCUCAGCGCCCUCGGCUAGAUUUUAAAAACCUAACCACUGUCCCGUUAACACUCCCCCCCCAAAACAUUUUUUCUACCUAUACUCUUCUACUUCCUUGUCUAGGGUUAUGGAAAAGGGGUAUGUGGAGCAUCCCAGUGGACAGCAGCUAAAGAGUCAAGGAAAACAAACGACAACUUGAUGAAGAGGGACUCGAAGUUGCCGUCUGCCGCCACGGAAUACUUCUAAGGAGCCUCAACAUGAUGCGUGGAGAGAUAUUUGCGUACCCACUGUUCUUGCAGAAGGAAUUGUCUGGCAGCAGGAACAUACAAUUCAUGUGUACAGAUGUGAUCUGCAAAUUUUGGCCAUACCUGACCAAAGUUGCCCUUCAUUGUCCAGAGCUCGCCACUCUUCUAGACAUGAAGCCACUUCUUUCCGUCAUGCAUGCAAAGGCACAUCGUUUGAAAUGCGAGCAAGAACAGACAUGCUAACCAUCCAGGCCAUGGGGUGGAACAGAAGGAAGAAGAACAACCUGCACAGAGUAUUGUCCAGAAGAUACUUGAAGACAACAGCAAAAAUCCAGGAGGAGACCCAGACUCUUGAAAAGUUUAAGAGUGAUUUGGGUGUAGGCGAUGAGACUCUGUACAACUGGACAACGGAAGUUCAGCAAUGGGCUAAUACAGAGGAAACAAAUGAGAACAUGGAUGGUCCCCAGGUACUACAGAGAACAAUUGAAGUCCUGUUUCUGAGCAUCAAAGGAAACAGAACCUCUACCGUCAGACAGAUGGAUGCAAGAAAAGACACCCUCUGCGCAGAAAGAUAUUAGAAGAAUAGGCCAAAUUGACAGCUGCCAUAGAGGAGUACAACACCCUUGUACCAGAUGAGAUCCUUUCCGCAGACCUUCGUACCUGGCCUUGGGAGCUGCAUGGACAAACUGACCUACUCACAAAGAAAAUAGCCUUUGACCGGGUGAUGCUCCUGAGACGGCUGAAGGAGGAAGAGUUAAUUGUCCUAAAGGAAGUCAAGCAGCACUGGGAAAGCCUAAAGAGGGAAUCGGAGAAUGUGCAAGGCCUUGCUUCACAUGUGGCACCUGACCUAAGCAGGCAAAGCUGGCAAUUGAAUCAGUCGGAAGCUGGGAGCAGAGGUCUCUUCUCCAUGCUUCAGAGGAGAGUCAGCAGCCUCGAAAGACACCAGGACUCUGUCAAACUGAUAUACAGCAAGCUAUGGGCCAAGACACCUCCCUCCUAGAAAAUAACUUCAUAGAUGACCUCCUGGAAGAGGACCUAGAUGACAUCUAUGACAGCAUCCACUACAGCUUUGAUGACGAGGAAUCUAUCACAGACUGAAGGUGUUCGUUUGGGUGGGUGCAGUUUGCACUGGUUGAAAAGUGAUUCCAUUUGUUUUGCAUAUGUGCUUUAUCUGCCUUCCUAAGGAAAAAUAGUUUGAACAUUUUAUGAAAAAAAAACUUUUGUUUCUUCCUUGUUGACAAUGUGAUCAUGUGGCACAGAUUUGAGAAGGGCGCUCGUCUAUUACUGCUUUUGCCCGGUUACAUGACCAGGUCCGAUGCACCCCUUUAAAUGGCCAAUCUGCAGUUGCUACAUCCACUUUUGGAUUCUUGAAGAAUAUAAUUUAUAAAUGCCUCAUGAACAUAGUUCAACUGCCGUACCCCAUCAGAUCCCAAAAUAUAUAUUUUUAUCUACUCCAAUGUUUGUAAACAAAGUAAAUGUAAACUUACACUAGCAUGUGUCAAACUCAUUCCACGGGUGAGCCGAGUGUCUGCGGGUUUUUGCUCCUCAAAUGAUUGAUGAAUUAAGGUCACUAAUUAGUAAGGAACUCCCCUCACCUGGUUGCCUAGGAAAAACCUCAAACCAGCAGACACUAGGCUCUCCAUGGAAUGAGAUUGACACCACUGGACUAUAGCCUGGAAACAUGGUUUAAACUAUGGUUCCAUUUCUCCAGCCCCAUCCCUCUGCUUUUAACAGAACCACUGGACUAUAGCCUGGAAACAUGGUUUAAACUAUGGUUCCAUUUCUCCAGCCCCAUCCCUCUGCUUUUUACAGAACCACUGGACUAUAGCCUGGAAACAUGGUUUAAACUAUGGUUCCAUUUCUCCAGCCCCAUCCCUCUGCUUUUUACAGAACCACUGGACUAUAGCCUGGAAACAUGGUUUAAACUAUGGUUCCAUUUCUCCAGCCCCAUCCCUCUGCUUUUUACAGAACCAUUGGCAGGGAGAACGAUGUAUUGUUUCACCUGGUGAUUUCCGAUUUAAACAUUGUUAAACUGUAAUGUACUGUGCUUAUGUGUGCUUAUUAGUUUAGUUAAUAAAAAACUAAAAAAGGUCA